GCGAGCGUAGCUCAGUGGCAGAGCAUCCGGCUUUUAACCGGUGGGUCGCGGGUUCGAUCCCCGCCGCUCGUACCG
rnacentral:tRNA from 1 species